rnacentral:tRNA from 1 species
GUUCUAGUAGUUUUUUAAAAAUGUUGAGUUGCAAACUCAAAGAAGGAUUAAUCCCGGGGCG